GACGAACGCUGGCGGCGUGCUUGACACAUGCAAGUCGAACGGAAAGGCCUGCUUUCCCUUGUGGAUUGCGGGUACUCGAGUGGCGAACGGGUGAGUAACACGUGAGUGAUCUGCCCCCAACUUGGGUAUAAGCCUGGGAAACUGGGUCUAAUUCCCGAUAGGACUGCAGGGUGGUGCCUGUGGUGGAACACGAUUUUCUAGUGGUUGGGGAUGAGCUCGCGGCCUAUCAGCUUGUUGGUGGGGUAAUGGCCUACCAAGGCGGCGACGGGUAGCCGGCCUGAGAGGGUGGACGGCCACAUUGGGACUGAGAUACGGCCCAGACUCCUACGGGAGGCAGCAGUGGGGAAUAUUACACAAUGGGCGGAAGCCUGAUGCAGCGACGCCGCGUGGGGGAUGACGGCCUUCGGGUUGUAAACUCCUUUCGACCGCGAGGAAGCCACCUGGUUGGAAGGGUGGUGACGGUAGUGGUAGAAGAAGCACCGGCUAACUACGUG
rnacentral:rRNA from 1 species